AUUGAACGCUGGCGGCAUGCUUUACACAUGCAAGUCGAACGGUAACAGGCCUUCGGGUGCUGACGAGUGGCGCACGGGUGCGUAAUGCAUCGGAACGUACCCAGAGGUGGGGGAUAACGCAGCGAAAGCUGUGCUAAUACCGCAUGUGAUCUGAGGAUGAAAGCGGGGGACCGAGCAGCAAUGUUUGGCCUCGCGCCUUUGGAGCGGCCGAUGUCGGAUUAGCUAGUUGGUGGGGUAAAGGCCUACCAAGGCGACGAUCCGUAGCUGGUCUGAGAGGACGACCAGCCACACUGGGACUGAGACACGGCCCAGACUCCUACGGGAGGCAGCAGUGGGGAAUUUUGGACAAUGGGCGCAAGCCUGAUCCAGCAAUGCCGCGUGAGGGAAGAAGGCCUUCGGGUUGUAAACCGCUUUUGGCAGGAACGAAACGGUGUCCGCUAAUACCGGGCGCUAAUGACGGUACCUGCAGAAUAAGCACCGGCUAACUACGUG
rnacentral:rRNA from 1 species